rnacentral:rRNA from 1 species
CGUAACAAGGUUUCCGUAGGUGAACCUGCGGAAGGAUCAUUACCUAGAGUUUGUAGACUUCGGUCUGCUACCUCUUACCCAUGUCUUUUGAGUACCUUCGUUUCCUCGGCGGGUCCGCCCGCCGAUUGGACAACAUUCAAACCCUUUGCAGUUGCAAUCAGCGUCUGAAAAAACAUAAUAGUUACAACUUUCAACAACGGAUCUCUUGGUUCUGGCAUCGAUGAAGAACGCAGCGAAAUGCGAUAAGUAGUGUGAAUUGCAGAAUUCAGUGAAUCAUCGAAUCUUUGAACGCACAUUGCGCCCCUUGGUAUUCCAUGGGGCAUGCCUGUUCGAGCGUCAUUUGUACCUUCAAGCUCUGCUUGGUGUUGGGUGUUUGUCUCGCCUCUGCGUGUAGACUCGCCUUAAAACAAUUGGCAGCCGGCGUAUUGAUUUCGGAGCGCAGUACAUCUCGCGCUUUGCACUCAUAACGACGACGUCCAAAAGUACAUUUCUACACUCUUGACCUCGGAUCAGGUAGGGAUACCCGCUGAACUUAAGCAUAUCA